rnacentral:rRNA from 1 species
UACGUAGGGUGCAAGCGUUGUCCGGAAUUAUUGGGCGUAAAGAGCUCGUAGGCGGUCUGUCACGUCGGAUGUGAAAAUCCAGGGCUUAACCCUGGACCUGCAUUCGAUACGGGCAGACUAGAGUUCGGUAGGGGAGACUGGAAUUCCUGGUGUAGCGGUGAAAUGCGCAGAUAUCAGGAGGAACACCGGUGGCGAAGGCGGGUCUCUGGGCCGAUACUGACGCUGAGACGCGAAAGCGUGGGGAGCGAACAGG